AUUGAACGCUAGCGGGAUGCUUUACACAUGCAAGUCGAACGAGUGGCGGACGGGUUAGUAAUAAAUCUGACCGUUCCCAGUAGAGGGGGAUAACUAACCGAACGAGUGGCUAAUACCGCAUACAAUUGCAGCGGUCGAUAUCGGAUUAGCUAGGUGGAGGGGUAAAGGCCGACCAAGGCAACGAUCCGUAACUGGUUUGAGAGGACGACCAGCCACACUGGGACUGAGACACGGUCCAGACUCCUACGGGAGGCAGCAGUGGGGAAUUUUGGACAAUGGGGGAAACCCUGAUCCAGCCAUCCCGCGUGUAUGAGAAGGCCUUCGGUUUGUAAAGUACUUUUGGCAGAGAAGCGGUAUCUACAGAAUAAGCACCGGCUAACUACGUGCCAGCAGCCGCGGUAAUUC
rnacentral:rRNA from 1 species